rnacentral:tRNA from 1 species
AGCUCAGUUGGUUAGAGCGUCGGAUUGUGGUUCCGAAGGUCGUGGGUUCGAAACCCACA